GGACCCGCACAAGCAGUGGAGCAUGUGGUUUAAUUCGACGCAACGCGAAGAACCUUACCAGCGUUUGACAUGGGAAGUACCGGUUACAGAAUGGUAACCUUCAGUUCGGCUGGCUUCCGCACAGGUGCUGCAUGGCUGUCGUCAGCUCGUGUCGUGAGAUGUUGGUUAAGUCCCGCAACGAGCGCAACCCUUAUCGUUAGUUACUAACAGUUCGGCUGAGGACUCUAGCGAAACUGCCGGUGAUAAGCCGGAGGAAGGUGGGGAUGACGUCAAGUCCUCAUGGCCCUUACACGCUGGGCUACACACGUGCUACAAUGGUAACUACAACGGGACGCAAUACCGCGAGGUGGAG
rnacentral:rRNA from 1 species